CACAGGCCGAUCACAGGCUAAGAGGAAAGAAGCUCCCUGUGUAUCCCUGGAUGGCUUUGAUGAGAAGAUGCAGGUGGAGCUGUGGAACGAGAUUGUCUCUAUUCAGAAUCUAAUCAAAGGAGCUGGGUCUAUCUGAUACAUGCUAUUCUCACGGCAGAGGAGACAGAGAGCACUUUCCCAACCCCUUGAAUCAGAGCUGGCCUGUGACUUUCUGUGGCCAAGAGAAGGUGGUGGAUAUGAUGUGUGCCAGUAGAAGCCCAAGCCCUUGCAAACUUCUGCCCUCUCUCCAAAUCUCACCACCAUGGAAACAUGUGGAGACUAAAGUGUGGAAUUAGGAGAAGCCACAUGGAGAAGAGCUUUAACACCUGGAGGCCAUCCAGGACCAGCUGAUCACAAGUGCAUGAGGGGGUUGGGCUGAGAUCAGCUACUGAGGCCAGACUGGUACAGCAGACCUUCCAGCUAACACUAAGACCUGUGAGCAAAAAUAAAUGCUUAUUGAUAAAUGC
rnacentral:lncRNA from 1 species